rnacentral:rRNA from 1 species
UGGGGAAUUUUGGACAAUGGGCGCACGCCUGAUGCAGCCAUGCCGCGUGUAUGAAGAAGGCCUUCGGGUUGUAAAGUACUUUCAGCGGGGAGGAAGGCGAUAAGUUUAAUAACCUUGUCGAUUGACGUUACCCGCAGAAGAAGCAACGGCUAACUCCGUGCCAGCAGCCGCGGUAAUACGGAGGGUGCAAGAGUUAAUCGGAAUUACUGGGCGUAAAGCGCACGCAGGCGGUCUGUCAAGUCGGAUGUGAAAUCCCCGGGCUCAACCUGGGAACUGCAUUCGAAACUGGCAGGCUAGAGUCUUGUAGAGGGGGGUAGAAUUCCAGGUGUAGCGGUGAAAUGCGUAGAGAUCUGGAGGAAUACCGGUGGCGAAGGCGGCCCCCUGGACAAAGACUGACGCUCAGGUGCGAAAGCGUGGGGAGCAAACA